AAGUCGGUUGUGAAAGCCUUCCGCUCAACGGAAGAACGGCAUCCGAUACUGCAUGGCUUGAGUGUGGGAGGGGAGAGUGGAACUUCUGGUGGAGCGGUGAAAUGCGUAGAUAUCAGAAGGAACACCGGCGGCGAAGGCGACUCUCUGGUCCAUAACUGACGCUGAGUGUGCGAAAGCUAGGGGAGCAAACGGGAUUAGAUACUCCGGUAGUCCUAGCCGUAAACGAU
rnacentral:rRNA from 1 species